UGGGGAAUAUUGGACAAUGGGCGCAAGCCUGAUCCAGCCAUACCGCGUGGGUGAAGAAGGCCUUCGGGUUGUAAAGCCCUUUUGUUGGGAAAGAAAUCCAGCUGGUUAAUACCCGGUUGGGAUGACGGUACCCAAAGAAUAAGCACCGGCUAACUUCGUGCCAGCAGCCGCGGUAAUACGAAGGGUGCAAGCGUUACUCGGAAUUACUGGGCGUAAAGCGUGCGUAGGUGGUCGUUUAAGUCUGUUGUGAAAGCCCUGGGCUCAACCUGGGAACUGCAGUGGAAACUGGACGACUAGAGUGUGGUAGAGGGUAGCGGAAUUCCUGGUGUAGCAGUGAAAUGCGUAGAGAUCAGGAGGAACAUCCAUGGCGAAGGCAGCUACCUGGACCAACACUGACACUGAGGUACGAAAGCGUGGGGAGCAAACAGGAUUAGAUACCCUGGUAGUCCACGCCCUAAACGAUGCGAACUGGAUGUUGGGUGCAAUUUGGCACGCAGUAUCGAAGCUAA
rnacentral:rRNA from 1 species